rnacentral:tRNA from 1 species
AAAGUAAUAGUUAAAUAUAUAACAUUAAAUUGUCAAAUUAAAAUUGUAAUUAUACUUGCUUUU